ACUUAUGCUGUAUGUACUUAAGAUUUGGUUUGAAGGUGAGGAAGGGGCUCAGCCUAAACAAACCUGUAUAGUCUGCCUCCUUCCCUCCCUCCACGCAUGUUUACUCUACUUUGGUUGUGCUUGUAGGAGUCUCCGAAGACCAACCCUCUACAAUACCUCCUCUGUUGAGAUCUUGGCUUUGUUUUGUAAAUACAUUUUUGGAGGUUGUGCUAGUUCAUUCCGUUGCUGUUUUGCUGCUUUUAAAGAACUAACUGGAGAAACAAAUGUAAUCAGCAUCAUCUGAGCAAAAGGAAAAUUAAAUUUGUCUGAGAACGGAUUACAAUUUAGGCCAAAUGAACAUACCUGUAACCUGAUUACACUGCCAGAGGUGAGUCAAUCUGUCCACCUACUGGUAAACCUGGUAGAUAUAGAUGCAAACAGCCAAUAGCAAGAUGGUCAAGUGAUCCACUUUAAUCUUUAAACUCUAAGCAGAUGUCUGAAAUACUUUUAAUAAUCCUUAAAAAAUUCAAUGACUCUUCUGUAAAUAACAGCCUUGUGUGUACCUACCUGUGUACCUACUGUGAAAUUUGAAUGACAAAGGCAUUAACAUAUUUUUGUAUUUUUGUACUGCCAUUUCAAAACAACAUAAAGUUUAAUAUUUGUCACAAUG